CCUCCUGGGGAGGAAGGACGGGCUGGGCCUCGGGCGUCUGGGCACCCCCAGGCCUCCCAGCUGCCUGAGGCCGAGGCUGAGGCCGGCGGGAGGGGACGCACCUGUUGGCGGCCUCCUGGAGCCGCAGCCGCCGCUCCUCCAUCUUCCUUUGCAGCUGGCGCAGGGUUAAGGCCGCAUCGAUGCCCUGCACGUGCACUGAGCCCGGCCCUGAGGCUCAGCCGGACUCAGGGCCAGGGGCAGGGCACUGCCUCGGCCCUUCAGGAGGUCCAGUCCAGUGGCGGCGCUGGAGGACGGGCACCCACUAGGGCGGGAGGCAACUCAAGGUCACCUUCCCGGUUUCUCCCCUGGACACGGAGGCUGGAUGCACAGGAAGGAUACAGUCUCCUCCCGGGCCUUGGCGAUCACCAGGUUCUCCAUCAUCUGCCGCUGCAGGGACAGGGUCUGGAGGGGAGGGAGGGAGGAAUGAGGCCUGCUUUCCCCUCUCCCCCCGUCAGCAGCACAGAGCCGCCCGGGGCCCUGCUCACCAGCGACGUCUUCUGCAGGGCCUGGCUGGGGUCCAGACGGGCCAGCCGGGCCUCAUAGGCGGCCUUCAGCUUCUGGUUCUGCAGGGAGGCCUCCUCCAGGGGGGUCAGCUCCCUGCAAACGGGACACACUGCUGUCCGGGCCCAGGAAGCCCAGCGAUGUUCCGGGGGCCCAGCCCUGAGGCCAGAACGGCAGGAAGUGGUGUCUGGAUGGACGGACCAUGGGUGGACCACAGCGCCCUGAAAUGUGGGUGACCUGUUGCCAGGACAGCUGGCCUCUCCCAGGAAGCCAGACCUCAGACCUUGAUGUAGUUCAGUCGUGUGGGUUUGGCAACAACAUGAAACUCUUAAGGCAGCUGUGAGC